rnacentral:rRNA from 1 species
GUAGUUAGCCGGUGCUUUCUUGUACGGUACCGUCAUUAUCGUCCCGUACGACAGGAGUUUACAAUCCGAAAACCUUCUUCCUCCACGCGGCGUCGCUGCAUCAGGGUUUCCCCCAUUGUGCAAUAUUCCCCACUGCUGCCUCCCGUAGGAGUCUGGACCGUGUCUCAGUUCCAGUGUGGCCGAUCAGCCUCUCAGCUCGGCUACCCAUCGUUGGCUAGGUGGGCCGUUACCCCGCCUACUACCUAAUGGGACGCGAGACCCUCUCUCUGCGGAUUUCUCCUUUGACCUCUGUGCCAUGCGGCACUGUGGUCUUAUGCGGUAUUAGCACCUGUUUCCAAGUGUUAUCCCCCUCAAAGAGGCAGGUUCCUCACGCGUUACUCACCCGUUCGCCACUAAGUACAAAACCGAAAUCUCGUACUUCGUUCGACUUGCAUGUGUUAGGCACGCCGCCAGCGUUCGUCCUGAGCCAGGAUCAAACUCUGA